rnacentral:rRNA from 1 species
AAAUCAGUUAUCGUUUAUUUGAUAGUACCUUACUACUUGGAUAACCGUGGUAAUUCUAGAGCUAAUACAUGCUAAAAACCCCGACUUCGGAAGGGGUGUAUUUAUUAGAUAAAAAGCCAAUGCCCUCCGGGGCUCUUUGGUGAUUCAUAGUAACUUAACGGAUCGCAUGGCCUUGCGCCGGCGACGGUUCAUUCAAAUUUCUGCCCUAUCAACUUUCGAUGGUAAGGUAUUGGCUUACCAUGGUUUCAACGGGUAACGGGGAAUUAGGGUUCGAUUCCGGAGAGGGAGCCUGAGAAACGGCUACCACAUCCAAGGAAGGCAGCAGGCGCGCAAAUUACCCAAUCCCGACACGGGGAGGUAGUGACAAUAAAUACUGAUACAGGGCUCUUUUGGGUCUUGUAAUCGGAAUGAGUACAAUUUAAACCCCUUAACGAGGAACAAUUGGAGGGCAAGUCUGGUGCCAGCAGCCGCGGUAAUUCCAGCUCCAAUAGCGUAUAUUAAAGUUGUUGCAGUUAAAAAGCUCGUAGUUGAACCUUGGGCCUGGCUGGCCGGUCCGCCUCACCGCGUGUACUGGUCGGCCGGGCCUUUCCUUCUGGAGAACCCCAUGCCCUUCACUGGGUGUGCGGGGGAACCAGGACUUUUACUGUGAAAAAAUUAGAGUGUUCAAAGCAGGCCUUUGCUCGAAUACGUUAGCAUGGAAUAAUAGAAUAGGACGUGCGAUCCUAUUUUGUUGGUUUCUAGGACCGCCGUAAUGAUUAAUAGGGAUAGUCGGGGGCAUCAGUAUUCAAUUGUCA